rnacentral:lncRNA from 1 species
CCGCCGCACCGAGGGAGCCCUCCCUGCCCGGAGCCACCAGCCCGAGCUCAGCAGAUGUUGAAGUUGUGGCAGAUUCUUGGGGGAGAAGCUUCCAUUGCCCCACCCUGAAAUGGCCUCUUUCUUGGAGGAGGAUGUCAGCGUUGUCCCUGAGUGUUCAGGGGAGCAGCCUGUCAACAGGGCUGCAGCUGAGACAGCCUUGCCUGGCAACACAAGCAGUGGGAACAGUUCUCUGAAGCCCGAGGAGCCUGAGCUCCACCUGCUGUACCUCGCCCGGAGGGCUGCCCUGCGCAGGCAGAAGUGCCCGAGCUCCCAGCCAGGGCCGGCCCUGGUGGGUGCCGAUGGUGGCCGCGCUGCGGGGCCACAGCUCCUUGUGAAGAGCCCCGACUGCUGCCCCGAGAUCCCUGCAGACACCAAGAGACUGAAGAGAGACCAGAAGGAGAACGUGCCGGGCGGCCUGGAGGUGUUCAGCUCCGCUUCCAGCCACUCCCAGCAGCACCUGGACUCAGCCCUGAGCAGGGACCUGCAGCUGCCACCCUCGAGCCACCUGUGCGGCCCUUCCAGGAAAAGUGAAGGUGCUUCUGGAUUGCCCCCAGAGCGGGCAGGAGGGAUUUGUUGUGGCCCACCGCAGGAUGCAGCCCAGGCAGAACUGGUGGCAACAGGGCAGAAGUGAAGCCGCGUCAUCCCAAGUCUCCUGGCAGAUGGGGCAGUUGCUGUCUGUCCCUGUGGCCAUUUGUGUGCUCUGCAGCACGUUGGGGACAGCUGAAGACCAGGAGCUGCUCCCCUCGCUGGUGUCACACACUGCAGGAGGGAGAGACCAUAGUCACUGGCUGUGCCAAGGAGAGGAAUAAAAGGCAGGAAAUGCCCA